CCACUCUGCUGAGACUGAGCUGUGGCCCCCAGGGGGACCCCAGAGGCUUGCCAAUUAAGGAAUGGUGGUUCCCCAACCCUUCUGCUUGACUGCAUGAGAAACUUUAGCCCCUUGGCAAGGCUGCCUGCUACUUUGAAAGAGGAAAUUGAAAUGAGCAUGAACCACCUGGAAGAAGCCGGGACAGAUGUGGGAGCCCCCUGCAGUUGCAAGAAGGCUGUGUUCCAACUGUGCAGGAGAAACGGGAUGAGUUCCAAACCACCAGCAAAGAUGCAGAAGAAUGUUUGAGAAUUGAGAGUCUCAGGAGCAGUCCCACAGGCCACUGGAGGGUAAGAAUGGAUCAAAGCCAAGAAGCUCAGCAAGCCCACUCUCCUUCACCUAUCACCCCCGAGACCUGAAAAGUAGCCUGGCAUGCUGUCUGCAGAGGUCAUGAGCUCCCCAUCCCUGGAAAGUCAAGCCAGUCUGAGCCCUGGGCAAGAUCUCCCACUGGAUGGGCUUAAACUAGAAACUUUUUUGAUCUUAUUCUAAUAGCUUUGGCUUUUUUGUUUUGUUUUGUUGAUUAAAGAGCUUCCAAGUCCAUCGUUGCAUAGACGAGC